rnacentral:rRNA from 1 species
GGUUAAGUUACUAAGGGCACACGGUGGAUGCCUUGGCGCUAGGAGCCGAUGAAGGACGCAGCGAACUGCGAUAAGCCUCGGGGAGCGGUAAGCACGCAUUGAUCCGGGGAUCUCCGAAUGGGGCAACCCACCAUCCGUAAUGGGAUGGUAUCCGUCACUGAAUCCAUAGGUGACGUGAAGGCACACCCGGUGAACUGAAACAUCUAAGUAGCCGGAGGAAGAGAAAACAACAGUGAUUCCGUCAGUAGUGGCGAGCGAACGCGGAAGAGCCUAAACCGCAGGGUUUACCCUGCGGGGUCGUGGGACGUCUCACGUGGAGUUACAAAAGACACCUGUAGGUGAACGGUCUGGGAAGGCCGACCAGAGAGCGUGACAGUCGCGUAACCCAAACAGGUGUCUCUCCGAGACGGAUCCCGAGUAGCACGGGACACGUGAAAUCCCGUGUGAAUCUGGCAGGACCAUCUGCUAAGGCUAAAUACUCCCUAGCGACCGAUAGCGAACCAGUACCGUGAGGGAAAGGUGAAAAGCACCCCGGGAGGGGAGUGAAAGAGAACCUGAAACCGUGUGCUUACAAAUAGUCGGAGCCCGUUUUAGGGGUGACGGCGUGCCUUUUGUAGAAUGAACCGGCGAGUUACGGUAGCGUGCGAGGUUAAGUCGAAGAGACGGAGCCGCAGCGAAAGCGAGUCUGAACAGGGCGACAGUACGUUGCCGUAGACCCGAAACCGUGUGAUCUAGCCAUGUCCAGGGUGAAGGUAGGGUAACACCUACUGGAGGCCCGAACCCACGCACGUUGAAAAGUGCGGGGAUGAGGUGUGGCUAGCGGUGAAAUUCCAAUCGAACUCGGAGAUAGCUGGUUCUCCCCGAAAUAGCUUUAGGGCUAGCCUCGGAAUGAGAGUCUUGGAGGUAGAGCACUGAUUGGGCUAGGGGCCCUCAUCGGGUUACCGAACUCAGUCAAACUCCGAAUGCCAACGACUUAUGUCCGGGAGUCAGACGAUGAGUGCUAAGAUCCAUCGUCAAGAGGGAAACAGCCCAGACCAUCAGCUAAGGUCCCCAAGUGUACGUUAAGUGGGAAACGAUGUGGAGUUGCCCAGACAACCAGGAUGUUGGCUUAGAAGCAGCCACCAUUUAAAGAGUGCGUAAUAGCUCACUGGUCGAGUGACUCUGCGCGGAAAAUGUAACGGGGCUAAACGUACCACCGAAGCUAUGGCAGUCCUUCGGACUGGGUAGGGGAGCGUUCCAAGCAGCGGCGAAGCCGUACCGGAAGGAGCGGUGGAGCGCUUGGAAGUGAGAAUGCCGGUGUAAGUAGCGAAAAGACAAGUGAGAAUCUUGUCCACCGAAAGCCUAAGGGUUCCUGGGGAAGGCUCGUCCUCCCAGGGUUAGUCGGGACCUAAGCUGAGGCCGAAAGGCGUAGGCGAUGGACAACAGGUUGAUAUUCCUGUACCACCUCCAUUCCGCUUGAGCAAUGGCGUGACGCAGGAGGAUAGGGCGAGCGGCCUGCUGGAUGGCCGUCCAAGCAGCAAGCCUGGUGUGUAGGCAAAUCCGCACACCGCCAAGGGCAAGCUGUGAUGGCGAGGGAAAUGCAAGUACCGAAGUCCCUGAUUUCACACUGCCAAGAAAAGCGUCUAGCGAGGAAUGAGGUGCCCGUACCGCAAACCGACACAGGUAGGCGAGGAGAGAAUCCUAAGGUGCGCGGGAGAACUCUUGCUAAGGAACUCGGCAAAAUGGCCCCGUAACUUCGGGAGAAGGGGCGCCCCGGUAGGGU